rnacentral:rRNA from 1 species
UGUAAAGUUCAAGCUCCGAUUAUGAGGGCGAAACCGCGAAUGGCUCAUUAAAUCAGUCAUAAUCUACUUGAUUGUUUAAAGUUUAUAUGGAUAACUGUGGUAAUUCUAGAGCUAAUACAUGCACAAAGAGGACGACUCUCGCCUUCACGGGUUGGGAGAAGUUCUGCGUUUAUUAGACUAAGACCAAUGGUUGGUAGCAAUACCAAUCCAUUAAUUAAGGUGACUCUGAGUAAAUAAUGGGUGAAAGCCCAUGUUGCUGACCUGACAUCUCAAAAGGCUCGCAAGGGUCUGUCAGGCAAAUCAAUCGUGUGUCUGCUCUAUCAACUGUGGAUGGUAGGAUAAUUGCCUACCAUGGUGAUGACGGGUAACGGGGAGUUAGGGCUCGACUCCGGAGAACAAGCCUGAGAAACGGCUAGUAGGACUAAGGUCUGCAGCAGGCGCGAAACUUACACAAUGCUAGAUUACAAUUAGCGAUGUAGUGAAGAAAAAUAACGAUGUACUUCCAUUUAAACAUGGUAGUACAAUUGGAAUGAGACGACUAUAAAUGAGUUAGUCGAGUAACAAAUGGAGGGCAAGUCUGGUGCCAGCAGCCGCGGUAAUUCCAGCUCCAUUAGCAUACAUUAAAGUUGUUGCGGUUAAAAAGCUCGUAGUUGAAUUUUAGGCGGGCUCUAUUGGGCGGCAUCCGUUAAGGUUUUCCUGAAGUAAGCCUGUUUCUUAAUUGAUCAGUAGCUGUCUGGUUAAAACUGGUUGUUUUGCCCUGAUAGGAACCCGCUGUUUCGUCACUUAAUCGAGUGCGAAGCGGGCUGGAACGAUGAGUUCGGUCCUCUUCGGAGGCAACCGUUCAUGUUACAGCAUGUUUACCUUGAGAAAAUUAGAGUGCUCACAGCAGGCAGUUGGGGUGUAAAAGCUCCUUUAUGCUUGAAUAAUGUUGCAUGGAAUAAUAGAAUACGGCCUCGGUUCUAUUCUGUUGGUCUUAUAGAACAACAAACAAGUUGGUUAAAGCGAUCAAAAGUCUCUUUGUGAGCGUGGCUUUGAGGGUGUUGUUUGGUUAGGAAUAAACUAGCCGUUACUCAUACGUGUCUCUAGUCUCUGUUGUCUGGGGCCUUAAAAUCUCAGUACCAGGAUGGUCAUGUUGGGGCGGUUUAUGUGUAUUUUUGGCUAACUUCCUACUCAUUGUCAUUUAAAGCGCUUCUUAGUUGGCUAGCUUUUCAAUCAACUGAGGCAAUGGUUAAAAGAAAUAGUCGCGGCGGCAUCAGUACUGCAUCGUGAGAGGUGAAAUUCUUAGACCGAUGCAAGACUAACUGAAGCGAAAGCGUUUGCCGAGGAUAUUUUCAUUAAUCAAGAACGAAAGUUAGAGGUUCGAAGGCGAUCAGAUACCGCCCUAGUUCUAACCAUAAACGUUGCCAACUAGCAAUUGGGUUGCGAUUCCUUUAAUCGAAGCUUAAAACACUUCGAUCAUUAUGAUCCACCCAGCGGCUCUCGUAGGGAAACCAAAGUGUUUGGGUUCCGGGGGAAGUAUGAUUGCAAAGUUGAAACUUAAAGGAAUUGACGGAAGGGCACCACCAGGAGUGGAGCCUGCGGCUUAAUUUGACUCAACACGGGGAAACUUACUAGAUUAGAACUCUGGAAUGAUUGACAGAUUGAUAGCUCUUUCUUGAUUCAGAGGAUGGUGGUGCAUGGCCGUUCUUGAUUCGUAUUCCGAAACGUCUGCUUAAUUGCGAUAACGAGUGAGACCUCACCCAACUAACUAGUCGUUUGGUGCGCUGUGGAACGCAAAAGUCUUGGCGGGAUUUUUGUUGGUGUUCGGGUUGGGUUUCGGCUUAAUUCGGCGCUAGCUGCCCGUUUGAGAUGUUCUCUGUUCGCCAGCGGACUUCUUAGAGGGAUAAACGGUGUUUUAGCCGUAAGAAACGAGGCAAUAACAGGUCUGUGAUGCCCUUAGAUACUCUAGGCCGCACGCGUGCUACAAUGGCGUGUGCAGAGAGCUUGUUCGAGGUUUGUCUAAAGAGAACUAGUUGUUUGGUUUAGAUGUUUGGCUGGUAGCAAUAUUGGUUAGGCGUUUAAAUCGGCAGAAAAGUGACUUUAGUUAGCAGGCCGAGAGAAACCGUAGUCGAAAGAUUACGGCAAUCAAAAAUACACGCCGUGAUUUGGGAUUGGGGAUUGCAAUUGUUGCCCAUGAACGAGGAAUUCCCAGUAAGCGCAAUUCAUCAUAUUGCGUUGAUUACGUCCCUGCCCUUUGUACACACCGCCCGUCGCUACUACCGAUUGGAAGUUUUAGUGAGGCAUUUGGACCUGCCGUCCAUUGGAAGGGGCAACUCUUCUUGGUUGGCGGGGAAGUCUGUCGAACUCAAAUUUCUAGAGGAAGUAAAAGUCGUAACAAGGUUUCCGU